rnacentral:rRNA from 1 species
CGACCGGCGCACGGGUGCGUAACGCGUAUGCAACCUACCUUUAACAGGGGGAUAACACUGAGAAAUUGGUACUAAUACCCCAUAAUAUCAUAGAAGGCAUCUUUUAUGGUUGAAAAUUCCGAUGGUUAGAGAUGGGCAUGCGUUGUAUUAGCUAGUUGGUGGGGUAACGGCUCACCAAGGCGACGAUGGAUAGGGGUUCUGAGAGGAAGGUCCCCCACAUUGGAACUGAGACACGGUCCAA